rnacentral:rRNA from 1 species
AUGCACGCUGGCGGCGUGCCUCAUACAUGCAAGUCGAGCGAACGGACGAGAAGCUUGCUUCUCUGAUGUUAGCGGCGGACGGGUGAGUAACACGUGGAUAACCUACCUAUAAGACUGGGAUAACUUCGGGAAACCGGAGCUAAUACCGGAUAAUAUUUUGAACCGCAUGGUUCAAAAGUGAAAGACGGUCUUGCUGUCACUUAUAGAUGGAUCCGCGCUGCAUUAGCUAGUUGGUAAGGUAACGGCUUACCAAGGCAACGAUGCAUAGCCGACCUGAGAGGGUGAUCGGCCACACUGGAACUGAGACACGGUCCAGAUUCCUACGGGAGGCAGCAGUAGGGAAUCUUCCGCAAUGGGCGAAAGCCUGACGGAGCAACGCCGCGUGAGUGAUGAAGGUCUUCGGAUCGUAAAACUCUGUUAUUAGGGAAGAACAUAUGUGUAAGUAACUGUGCACAUCUUGACGGUACCUAAUCAGAAAGCCACGGCUAACUACGUG